rnacentral:rRNA from 1 species
AUAUGUUCUUCGUGAACAUGGCGUACUGCUCAGUAACACGUGGAUAACCUGCCCUUGGGUCCGGCAUAACCCCGGGAAACUGGGGAUAAUUCCGGAUAACGCACAUAUGCUGGAAUGCUUUAUGCGUCAAAUGGAUUCGUCUGCCCAAGGAUGGGUCUGCGGCCUAUCAGGUAGUAGUGGGUGUAAUGUACCCACUAGCCGACGACGGGUACGGGUUGUGAGAGCAAGAGCCCGGAGAUGGAUUCUGAGACAUGAAUCCAGGCCCUACGGGGCGCAGCAGGCGCGAAAACUUUACAAUGCGGGAAACCGUGAUAAGGGGACACCGAGUGCCAGCAUCAUAUGCUGGCUGUCCGGGUGUGUAAAAUACACCUGUUAGCAAGGGCCGGGCAAGACCGGUGCCAGCCGCCGCGGUAACACCGGCGGCCCGAGUGGUGAUCGUGAUUAUUGGGUCUAAAGGGUCCGUAGCCGGUUUGGUCAGUCCUCCGGGAAAUCUGACGGCUUAACCGUUAGGCUUUCGGAGGAUACUGCCAGGCUUGGAACCGGGAGAGGUAAGAGGUACUACAGGGGUAGGAGUGAAAUCUUGUAAUCCCUGUGGGACCACCUGUGGCGAAGGCGUCUUACCAGAACGGGUUCGACGGUGAGGGACGAAAGCUGGGGGCACGAACCGGAUUAGAUACCC